GUGAAACGACCAGCAUUCACAUUCACUGUAUGUCCUCCGUCGUAGCAAGACCCACCCGGGCAGACUUGCGCGAUUAAGGAAGGCAUAUGAUGUCUAUAUUUUUUGUCAGAGAUUUUUUGAUUUUAAGCAUAUUUUAUGUUGCCUGCACAUUAUAUCGCUUUUACUCAAAUUAUUAAAUAGUGAUUUUAUUCAUACCUAUUAGCAGCUCUUAACAUUUCCUUGGCUCAAGCUCUGGUAUGCACAAACAAAAUUUGACGCUGGCUUUGUUCCGUGGCUUAUAUAAGUCUGGCACAGUUCAGGCGCAAGACUGCCAGAGUUGCGGUUGCGGGAACACUGAUCAUCACAUAUCCUAUAAAGGCUGAGCAAUUAACUGAAACGUGGCCAAUCGCUGUUACAAAAAUGAAUUGUAAAAUUGUUUAAAAAAACACUCAUAGAUUUGACAUUUUCUUCUUAUAUAAUUAUAAUUAUAAAUAUAAUUGGAAAUACAAUAUAUAAUAAUUUUUCAUAGUUAAAAAAAUAAUUAUUUUUUGCUAAAUUUUCAUUUAGAGUAGUAGAUUACCGAAACUGGAGAACGGAUUUUGUUAUUUAGGGUCUUGUUAGAUUCACAUAUUCUAGGAGAAGUGCUAUGAAGAUUUUCAGAACUUUAUCCUUCAAUCGUUAACUCACUACAAAGCUAUAAAGAUGAAAAACAUAAAAAAAAAACUCACAAUAAAAUGUGUUUUAAUUUUUUUUGAAGCUCUGUAGUGAAUUAAUUAUAAAAUAUAAAGUUCUGAAAAUCUUAACUGCACUUCUCCUGGCUAAUGUGAAUCUAACAAUAUGACCACAGACAACAAAACCUGGUGUCCGGUUUCAGAGGUCUAUCUCACUAAUUGAAAAUGAAAAUAAAAUCUAUUAUACAUACAUAUUGCAUACAAUUAAUAAAUUUACCCUUUUAAUUUA